CUUUCAAGUGGUCCCAUUGAAGGCUCCAUGGGGCUCUUCUGUUGAAAUAUUCCCUAAUAAUUUACAGACGUGCCAAAUUUAGAGUUCAAGAUUUCCGUAAGGAUCUUCGUUUCCAUAGCGUGUCUCGUGAACAUAAUCUUUGUACACAAAGGUCAAUCGAUUCCUUUUACCAUUUGUCCGACAGUGGAAGAUGGAAUCCAGCCAAGUCUGAUCGUUAGUGGGGGAUAAAUGCAAGUUAUUUUCCGAGCUUUCUGCUUUUCUUUGCAGUCCUUGUUCAAAAGAUAACGCCGAGAUUAUUUUCACUGCACCGGUGAGUUAAUACCUCGGCCGUUUUAGCAAAAUCAGUCAAGUUUGCCUUCAGACAAGUAUCAGGGCCGAAUCUUUGGAACAAAAGCAAGCGAGGGAAUCAAAUGAACCGAUGCAGCGAUCAUAGAUUGACUAUCGAACGCUUUGACUUAG